rnacentral:lncRNA from 1 species
AUGGCCCAUCUCUCUCUCUCUCUGUCUCUCUCCCUCUCUCUUUCCCUCUCUCUCUCUCUCUCUCUCUCUCUAUUUCUCCUUUUCUCUCUGUCUCUCUCCCUUUCUCUCUUCUUCUCUGUCUCUCCUUUUCUCUGUCUCUCUCCCUUUCUUCUCUGUCUCUCUCCCUUUGUUUCUUUCUUCUCUAUUUCUCCUUUUCUCUCUGUCUCUCUCCCUUUCUCUCUUCUUCUCUCUCUCUCCUUUUCUCUCUGUCUCGCUCCCUUUGUUUCUCUUUCUUCUUCUCUGUCUCUUUUCUAUUCUCUCUGUCUUUGUCUCUGUUUCUGUCUCUCUUUUAACUCUUGGAAUUGAUAAGGUGUAUCUGUUUCAAGGCAAAAGGAUGUCAGAGGCCAAAUUUGAACCCAGGCCCUCCCAUCUCUAGACCGAGGUUCUCUAUCCACUGAGCCACUUAGCCUUCUCUUC